UCACACAAGAGACCCAAAUUAAUGGUAUACGGCGUAAAGAGUGGACCUAUGACUAUCAUAGCAAUUAAGGCCAAAAAGUAGCUGGGCUGUCAUAAGCUUAAGAUACACUUAAAACCACCAUAAAAACGACCUUAACACAUAUGAUCAACUAAAUUCCACGAAAGCCAGGGCACAAACUGGGAUUAGAUACCCCACUAUGCCUGGCCCUAAAUCUAGAUGCUUGCCCUACCAAAGCAUCCGCCCGAGAACUACGAGCGCAAACGCUUAAAACUCUAAGGACUUGGCGGUGCCCCAAACCCACCUAGAGGAGCCUGUCCUAUAAUCGACAACCCACGAUACACCCGACCAUUUCUUGCAAGAAACAACAGCCUACAUACCGCCGUCGCCAGCUCACCUUCACUGAGAGUACAAUAGUGAGCACAAUCGCCCUAACCCCGCUAGCACGACAGGUCAAGGUAUAGCCUAUGAAAUGGAAGAGAUGGGCUACAUUUUCUAACCUAGAAAACCCUUGCUCCACGAAAGGGAACGUGAAACAGCUCCCAGAAGGCGGAUUUAGUAGUAAAGCGGGACAAUAAAGCCCCCUUAAACCUGGCUCUGAGGCACGUACAUACCGCCCGUCACCCUCUUCACAAGCUUUAAAUUACCAUAAAUAAUACGCCCACUAGCCAAAGAUGAGGUAAGUCGUAACAAGGUAAGUGUACCGG
rnacentral:rRNA from 1 species